AGUGAACGCUGGCGGUAGGCCUAACACAUGCAAGUCGAACGGCAGCACAGUAAGAGCUUGCUCUUACGGGUGGCGAGUGGCGGACGGGUGAGGAAUACAUCGGAAUCUACUUUUUCGUGGGGGAUAACGUAGGGAAACUUACGCUAAUACCGCAUACGACCUACGGGUGAAAGCAGGGGAUCUUCGGACCUUGCGCGAUUGAAUGAGCCGAUGUCGGAUUAGCUAGUUGGCGGGGUAAAGGCCCACCAAGGCGACGAUCCGUAGCUGGUCUGAGAGGAUGAUCAGCCACACUGGACCUGAGACACGGUCCAGACCCCUACGGGAGGCAGCAGUGGGAAAUAUUGGACAAGGGGGGCAAGCCUGAUCCAGCCAUACCGGGUGGGUGAAGAAGGCCUUCGGGUUGUAAAGCCCUUUGUUGGGAAAGAAAAGCAGCAGGUUAAUACCCCGCUGUUCUGACGGUACCCAAAGAAUAAGCCCCGGCUAACUUUGUG
rnacentral:rRNA from 1 species